rnacentral:rRNA from 1 species
UACGGGGGGGGCAAGCGUUGUUCGGAAUUACUGGGCGUAAAGGGCUCGUAGGCGGCCCUCUCAGUCGGAUGUGAAAUCCCCAGGCUUAACCUGGGAAUGGCAUCCGAUACUGGAGGGCUUGAAUUCGGGAGAGGGAUGCAGAAUUCCAGGUGUAGCGGUGAAAUGCGUAGAUAUCAGGAGGAACACCGAUGGCGAAGGCAGGUCUCUGGGCCACUACUGACGCUGAGAAGCGAAAGCAUGGGGAGCGAACAGG